rnacentral:misc_RNA from 1 species
GAGACAAGGAUUUAGACAGGUUCAGGCCCUCUCAAUGAGAGGUAAUACCCUACUCCUGUUUGGGGAUUUGAAUCCGCCGAGUGUGUAUUGAUCUGACGAUCAGGUUGUCUCAUAUAUGCCCCCUAGAGGGCCUCCUGCCCACCUUAUAUAGGAUGGGGGGCAGGAUUACAAGAUAGAAACCUUAACCAAUACGGUAUCGGUUUCCUAAAUCUACUUUACAAUCUUAUCAAACCAGGACUUUAGGCCGUUCCAUAAUAUACA